UGAGAGCUCACAGCAAGAUGGCGGCUGCCUACAAGCCAGGAAAAGAGGCCUUGGGGUGAAACUUACCUUGCAGUACCUUGAUCUUGAACUUCUUACCCUCCAAAACUGUGAGGAAUACAUUUCUGUUGUCUAAGCCACCUGGUCUAUGGUACUUGGUUAUAGCAGCUCCUGCAGACUGAUACACUCCAGGUGGUGGGAUUCUGGGGCUUUUGGAGUCCCCUACUCAUACACCUUCUCAUACAUGAGACUACACUGCUUGAAAACCACAAUGGGCUCCAUAAACACUUUUGCAAUAGUGAAGAAGAAGAAAAAAUAAUGCCACACAUGAAUGCUCCUGAGAUGCCUCUGCCUAUUCUGGUGUGAUUGAAUUCUGUCCCCAGCAAAGGGAGGAAUGGGGUGAAUGUUGCUAUGUUUCUCUUUGCCUCCAUGGAAAGAAGUAUUUGGAGUAACCAGCAUCAUGGAGACAACAGCCUUACUCCCCAAGAAACCAGAGUUGGGGGAGAAGAGGGAUCUGCCUUCUCUGUGAAAGGCCCGGAGGCACUGAAAAGGAGCAGUUUCGGAAGAAUGCUGGCCUUGGAAUUAUCUACCCACCUAUCUAUCCAUCUGAUCAUCCAUCCAUCCAUCCAUCCUUUUAUCCAAUCUCCUAUCUGUCCAUCUGUCCAGCUAGCCAACCCUCAUUCACCAAAUAUUUAUUGAGCAUUUGCUAUGCACACUCACUAGGGAUAAAGUGGUAAACAAAAUGGACAUCAGAUCAAUUCAGGCUGGUGUCCUAGCUCAGCCAUUUAACUGUCACCUUGGGAAACUUGCUUGCUGUCUUUGAGCUGCUUUCUUUAUCUGCACAUUAGGGAUUCUAAUCUCUACAGUGAAAAAGGUUACAAUAAAUAUUGUCCAUAUAUGGACAUAACUUAGCACAGUAGCAAGACCACAGUAGGUGCACCACAAACAGUAGUUUUGGCAGUUCUCUAUCUCCCCCAAAGACCCCUGCCUACCACCCUUCUGCUGCAUAGGACAGCAUUUCUGCAUGAUCUUCAUACAAGGCAGCAACAAGGACCUGUGGGACGACGUUUGUCUGGGAGUGGAGAUGAGGCCCAAUGAGAGUCGGUGGCGUGUCUGAGGCUUACCGGUCCUUGAAGAGCAGGAGCUCCUUCCCCAGCAUUGUCACAGCGUCAAAGGAUGAGCUGGAGUCACAGAGGCAUCCAGGAAAAACUGAGCGAGUUCUUGUGAAACUGAAGUACACUGAAGGUGUUUGCUAUUUAAAGGUAUCUUCUGGUGGAUCGUCUUGGAAAACAUGGACCCAAAUCUUGCGAGAGCUAUCAGUGAGUCUCCUCUCCUGCUCUGCAUCUCUCAGGACUGUGUCCCAGCUCCAGAAGAAUGAGCCUGCACAGCUUGGACUGUCACCUCUGGCAGGUUCCUGCUCUUUGAUGAAGCCUCGUCAUAAUUACAGAGCCCAAGGAUGAAAACAGAGAAGUAAUUAAUGGCAGCUUUCCUGGGCCAGAAGAAUAAAUAAGGAAUUAUCUUACAAACAGCAAAUAAACCACAGCAACCAUGAAAUUAGAAGUUUGGUAAAACAUGUUGCAGAAGAACCAGGAAACACAUUGCAAUUGAGCCUGCUGGGUGCUGCUGCAAGUUUGGGGGUGAACAGGAGAAUCAGGUUCUUAUAGGGGUGAAGUCUGCAAAGUAGGAUGUUUUCCUAAUUUGAAUGCAAUGACUGAAGUGGAAAAUGGUCAAAACUGGGCAGAGUGGCUCACACCUACAAUCCCCUAGGAGGGAAGGACAAAGGCAUCCAUAUCACCUCGCCACAGUGGUUGUGGUGGAAGCUGUAGCACUGAAGAGAUGCAGCCCCAUGGAAGAUGCUGCCAAGAGAGGGAGACAGAGCUACGUCUGGUGUCUCCCUUCCUCCUUACCUGGUGCCUCCCUCCUCCUGUCCUCCUGUCUCCCUUCAGAUGAAGGAACUGAUGCUGAGACUUGCACUCUACCAUAGGCGGAAGCACCCACCACCCUGUUCCCAGCCCUGGAAGGGCAAGGAAUGAAUCUGAGGCAAAUAGGGCCAGCACUGGCAGUCUGCUCGAUUUUCCCUCAGAGCAUUUAUCUUCCUUGACAUAUUUACAAUUUUUUGUCUAUUUUUGGUUUCUCUAACUUGACUAGAAUGUAAGAUCCACAAGGCUUGGGCUUUGCUCUUUUGUUCACUAUGUCCAUAGCUCCUGUAACAGUGCCUAAAACAUAGUAGGCAAUCAAUAGAUAUUCUUUGGAUAAACAAAUAUGCCUCAACAUUGAGUCUAACUUACAGCAGACAUUGAAUAAAUAUCUAUUGAAUGAA
rnacentral:lncRNA from 1 species